GGCCGCUGCUCUCAGCCAAUCGGAGCUCAGUGGCUCACCUGUCGUGCUCCGUCUUGCAGGUGUGGGUGUUGGACUACUUCGGCGGCGUGAAGGUCGUCUCUCCGGAGGAAUACUUCCAGGCACCGCCGUUCAAACACCACUGAUCGGAGCGGCCGCUUCUGUAGUCCUAAAGAUCGGCGCCUCCAGAACCGUGUGACAACCCAAGCCUUCCUCAGGAACUCCAGUUUGUUCUUUAUUAACUUUGUCUCAUCACUCGUUUAAAAGCUUUACAUCAAAUUUCUUUUUAUUCUUUAAAUUUCAUCACUUGUUUCUACUUGACAGAAAAAAAAAGAUAGAAUCUGAUUUGUUCAUUUGAUUGGAGCUGAACGUUGCCGUUGGCCGGUCAGGACGGAGGUCAGUGUGAGGCAUGACGUGUUCUUCAGCUGUGUGAGGUGUGUGUCGCUGUUCAGUUUGACAUGAAGAAGCGCUGCUGGACUCCAACCAGCUGAACACCUCUUCUUCCAACAAACCUGCUUUUCAUUUGGGCCGUUUGAUUCCAGCUCCGCUUUUUUAUUUUAAAUGUAUUUUUCCAGUGAUAAUCAGUAUUUUUUUAAAGCAUUGUGUUCACGUUGCUGCAGAAAACCUGCUUCAGCGACCUUUAUCCAAUUAUACGCACAAGAAACCAGUUCUUAGUCUGAAAACUGACGAAAAAGGAGCGUUUGGGGGCGGGGCUGUCUGAAGUGGGCGGGGCUGUCUGAAGUGGGCGGGCCAUAGAUAUGUCUAAUAAAGGCUAGAUGUCUUAAGGCGGUGUUUUGAACGGGAUCACCGGUGGCCAUCUUGCCCCGGGGCAGCUCUCUGGUAGAACCUGUGGUCCAUGAAGGAAGGCGAGGGAUCUGCACAAACGUAGAUACUCUGAUCUCGCUGAAAUCUGGACGGAUUUACAAAUGGUUUGGUUUCUUCCAAACAUUCUUAACGUGGCUACAAUUCAAGUUAUGAUGAGAUAUAAUAAUUUAUAAUAUAUAUCAUGAUGAUCCCAAACUUUUGACCAGAAGUGUACCAUCAUUAUCCGUCAGUGCAGAGUUACAACUACACCUCUGACGUUUAGAACAAACCAAACCGUUUGGAAAUCGGUAGAAAACUGAGCAAGUUCUGGUUCUUUAAAAAGUCCAUGCACCUCUACAGCACAAUGUUAUGGGUGAGCGAGUGGACCGGACCAAGAUGGCCGCCAGUGUGGCUGUGAGAUUCCAUUGGCCGACAGGGCGGAUGAGACAUCUUGCCUUUAUUAUAUGUAUACAUGGGCGGGGCUUUCUGGGGUGGGCGUGUCGCUCUGAUGUGGGCGGGGCGUUCAGAUGUGGGUGUGUUGCUUUGAUGUGGGCGGGGCUUUCUUGGUGGGCGUGGUGUUCUGAUGUGGGCGGGGCGUUCUGGGUGGGCGCAGCGUUCUGGGUGGGCGUGGUCUGUGUGUUUUGGUCUUCAGGACUUUGACGGUGCACUUUGAAUAAAACGCUCAGUUUGCUGUGGAAUGUGAUUCUUUAUUUUUCUGGAAGCAAUAAUUUGUAUAAAUAAAGAUUUGAGUGAACAACAA